rnacentral:lncRNA from 1 species
AUAGAAGAAAAGGGAGGGAAGGAAGCACUCUUAACAUUAUCCUCCUGUAGGGACAAUUUACUUCAGACCACUGCAAAAUUAUCUGGAUGGUAGAUAAGGGGAGUCUCCAAACAUCCUCCAACCUCUUAGUUGCAGGCACCCGGGAAAAUGCAAGUGUACCCGCUUUCUUCGGAUACAAAAAAAGAUCUAAUCUGUACUGGGAGCAGGCAGAAGAGGGUAGGAUAUGAAAAGGGUUGUCUCGGGCAGGAAACAAUGAAGAUAAGGAAUUCCAAGAAACACAGGAAGAUUUGUAUGAACUAAUUCAGUGAAGAAAGAAGAACCACGGUAAUGCUAUACACGAUGACUAGAAUAAGUGAAAAAACUUUAAAAGGCAUCCAAACCCAGAUGAAAUGCAAUGACCAAUAUUGGUCCCAGAAGCCAGUUGAUGAAUUAUGCCUACUUUCCCUCACAGAGAAAGUUGAGGAAUUGUUGCUAUGUCAUUCUGUUUUGGAAGAGAUAUUUCAGAGAUUUGGCACACAUCAAGGUUGCAUCUCUGUCUAUGUCCUUGUUUUGUUUUGUUUCUUCCUUUUUCUUCUCUUAUCUUUAAUAGACAAUGAUAGAAAAUUGAAGUGUUUUAUAGCAUUUUAUGUUCUCUCUUCUCAGUGCUUUUAUUCUAAAUGUAGCACCCCCUCUGGGCUUCUCACUGGCAAGUCCCCCAUUACAUAAAAACAUAUUUGCCAACACUCUAAUGGGGAGGAGAGGAAUGGGAGGAGGAGGUUGGAGACUCACCAAGCAGUUUUGAAAAUUGUAAAAUAGUUUGUUUGUUUUUUUAAUUAACUUGGGAAAGGCAAGAAGAAUUGGAGGGGAGGGGUAACUUCAUAUGAGACUUAGCUAUGCAAUAGUGAGUACAGUUCCAAACUGAACUAAAUGUCCAACAUGUAAUCAUCAUGUCACCAAAUUUGAAAUGAAUCCUGAUUUGUAACUGUUGAAAGGAAUUAUGAGGGGGGGGGACAUUUUGUAACAAGGUCAUGGCAAGAAAAAUACAUGUCUAAAUUUGAAGACUUAAAAGUCUUCCCUUCAUGGAUUUAGCCCCAAGGUUGAAACAUUCAAUGUAACAGCAAAUGUGUGAUUUGUGACAAGUUUGCAGUACAUAUCAGUAGUUUAGUGGUCCAUGUUUGAACCAACUUUUUUUAAGUGCUAUCCAUUUUAAAUUUUAUACAUAUAUAUUUUAUUUUUAUCUCCAUAUCUCUGAUACUAUGAUGGAUUUUUUCCCAUUUUUCUCUCAAAUAAAGUUGUUUUUAUAUAUGUAACCA